GAAAAUUUCAAAUAACAUCAUUUAAGUGACGUCUAGGUGUAAAUGUCAUCACGUAUGUGCUUCCGGUAACCAAACGUUGCAUUCCCAGGCAUAAUAAUUACAUAUACAAGACAUGUGUCAUUAAGAGGUUGAUUGGAAAUCAGGAGUCGUGGUGAUCUAAUAAGCGUUCUGAUUAUGCCGUUAUAAACGAAGUGAUAAGGAUCCUGAUAAGAGUGCAACAACCUAUUCUAGCGUCUCCAUUUAGCAAUAAGAAAAUACAUUGAAUUCA